rnacentral:rRNA from 1 species
CGAACGAUGAACCACUUCGGUGGGGAUUAGUGGCGAACGGGUGAGUAACACGUGGGCAAUCUGCCCUGCACUCUGGGACAAGCCCUGGAAACGGGGUCUAAUACCGGAUACUGACCCUCACGGGCAUCUGUGAGGUUCGAAAGCUCCGGCGGUGCAGGAUGAGCCCGCGGCCUAUCAGCUUGUUGGUGAGGUAAUGGCUCACCAAGGCGACGACGGGUAGCCGGCCUGAGAGGGCGACCGGCCACACUGGGACUGAGACACGGCCCAGACUCCUACGGGAGGCAGCAGUGGGGAAUAUUGCACAAUGGGCGAAAGCCUGAUGCAGCGACGCCGCGUGAGGGAUGACGGCCUUCGGGUUGUAAACCUCUUUCAGCAGGGAAGAAGCGAAAGUGACGGUACCUGCAGAAGAAGCGCCGGCUAACUACGUGCCAGCAGCCGCGGUAAUACGUAGGGCGCGAGCGUUGUCCGGAAUUAUUGGGCGUAAAGAGCUCGUAGGCGGCUUGUCACGUCGGUUGUGAAAGCCCGGGGCUUAACCCCGGGUCUGCAGUCGAUACGGGCAGGCUAGAGUUCGGUAGGGGAGAUCGGAAUUCCUGGUGUAGCGGUGAAAUGCGCAGAUAUCAGGAGGAACACCGGUGGCGAAGGCGGAUCUCUGGGCCGAUACUGACGCUGAGGAGCGAAAGCGUGGGGAGCGAACAGGAUUAGAUACCCUGGUAGUCCACGCCGUAAACGGUGGGCACUAGGUGUGGGCAACAUUCCACGUUGUCCGUGCCGCAGCUAACGCAUUAAGUGCCCCGCCUGGGGAGUACGGCC